AAGUUGAAUUAGACUAGAAGCAAGAAUACCUUGGCAUUGCCACUUGAAUCAGAAAAUCUUAGAGAAGAAGAAGAAGAACAGCAAC